rnacentral:rRNA from 1 species
GAACUGAAGAGUUUGAUCAUGGCUCAGAUUGAACGCUGGCGGCAGGCCUAACACAUGCAAGUCGAGCGGUAGAGGGAAGCUUGCUUCUCUUGAGAGCGGCGGACGGGUGAGUAAUGCCUAGGAAUCUGCCUGGUAGUGGGGGAUAACGCUCGGAAACGGACGCUAAUACCGCAUACGUCCUACGGGAGAAAGCAGGGGACCU